rnacentral:tmRNA from 1 species
GGGGGUGUAUUUGGUUUCGACAAUUAAUUAGAAGCAUAAAUAGCGAGUAGUGGAGCUGCCUGGCCACUUAAAAAGGCAGAAUUUAAAAAUAAACGCUGAUAAUAAAGAAUUAGCAUUCGCUGCCUAAGCCAGCGACGUCUUACUUUUACAACCCGCGGUUUAAGAUAAGGCGACGAUUAGCGGGAAACGAAACUAAUACCUGCUUUUUGUAUUAGUGGGAUUUUUAUAAAGCUACUGUAUUUAAAACUUGUUUAUUAGUGUUAAAUAUGGGAAUUCAAAUAAUAAACUGCACUCGGAGAAGUUUAUGUGGAAGAUUUAUUGGACAGGAGUUCAACUCUCCUCACCUCCACCA